rnacentral:rRNA from 1 species
UUCUGGUUGAUCCUGCCGGAGGUUACUGCUAUUGGAAUCCGAUUAAGCCAUGCGAGUCGAUCGGGUCAGACCCGAGGCGCACUGCUCAGUAACACGUGGAGAAUCUGCCCUUAGGUGAGGAAUAACCUCGGGAAACUGAGAAUAAUACCUCAUAGGUUAUGGAUGCUGGAAUGCUUCAUAGCCCAAAGCCCCGGCGCCUAAGGAUGACUCUGCGGACUAUCAGGUAGUAGUCAGGGUAACGACCUGACUAGCCUACGACGGAUACGGGGUGUGAGAGCACUAGCCCGGAGAUGGAUUCUGAGACACGAAUCCAGGCCUUACGGGGUGCAGCAGGCGCGAAACUUCCGCAAUGCUCGCCAGAGUGACGGAGGGAUUCCAAGUGCCUAUGCUAUGCGUAGGC